rnacentral:rRNA from 1 species
UACGAGGGGGGCAAGCGUUGUUCGGAUUUAUUGGGCGUAAAGGGUGCGUAGGCGGUUUGGCAAGUUUGGUGUGAAAUCUUCGGGCUCAACUCGAAGUCUGCAUCAAAAACUGCCGGGCUUGAGUAUGGGAGAGGUGAGUGGAAUUUCCGGUGUAGCGGUGAAAUGCGUAGAUAUCGGAAGGAACACCUGUGGCGAAAGCGGCUCGCUGGACCAUAACUGACGCUGAGGCACGAAAGCUAGGGGAGCAAACAGG